rnacentral:rRNA from 1 species
UUCCGGGUUGAUCCUGCCGGAGGUCACUGCUAUUGGGAUUCGACUAAGCCAUGCGAGUUGAGAGAGUUCGGCCCUCGGCUAACGGCUCAGUAACACGUGGAUAAUCUGCCCUUAGGUGGAGGAUACCCUCGGGAAACUGAGAAUAAUACUCCAUAGGUCUAGGAUGCUGGAAUGCACUUAGACUGAAAACUCCGGUGCCUAAGGAUGAGUCUGCGGACUAUCAGGUAGUAGUCAGGGUAAAGACCUGACUAGCCUACGACGGAUACGGGUUGUGAGAGCAAUAACCCGGAGAUGAUAUCUGAGACACGAUAUCAGGCCCUACGGGGCGCAGCAGGCGCGAAAACUUCACAAUGCGCGAAAGCGCGAUGAGGGAAUCCCAAGUGCUUGCACGUAAGUGUAAGCUGUUUCUAUGUUUAAAACGCAUAGAGAGUAAGGGCUGGGUAAGACGGGUGCCAGCCGCCGCGGUAAUACCUGCAGCUCGAGUGGUGGCCGCUAUUAUUGGGCCUAAAACGUCCGUAGCCGGUUUAAUAAAUGCCUGGGUAAAUCGUAUAGCUUAACUAUACGAAUUCCGGGUAGACUGCUAAACUUGAGACCGGGGGAAGUUAGAGGUACUCCUGGGGUAGAGGUGAAAUUCUGUAAUCCUAGGGGGACCACCGGUGGCGAAGGCGUCUGACUAAAACGGGUCUGACGGUGAGGGACGAAGCCCUGGGGCGCAAACGGGAUUAGAUACCCCGGUAGUCCAGGGUGUAAACGCUGCUUGCUUGAAGUUAGUCGGGCUUCGAGCCCGAUUAGUGUCGGAGAGAAGUUGUUAAGCAAGCUGCCUGGGAAGUACGGCCGCAAGACUGAAACUUAAAGGAAUUGGCGGGGGAGCACAGCAACGGGUGGAGCGUGCGGUUUAAUUGGAUUCAACGCCGGG